rnacentral:rRNA from 1 species
UACAGAGGUGGCAAGCGUUGUUCGGAAUUACUGGGCGUAAAGGGCGCGUAGGCGGCUUGGUCAGUCCCGUGUUAAAUCCCUCGGCUCAACUGAGGAACUGCACGGGAAACUGCCUGGCUUGAGUUCGGGAGAGGGAAGCGGAAUUCCGGGUGUAGCGGUGAAAUGCGUAGAUAUCCGGAGGAACACCGGUGGCGAAGGCGGCUUCCUGGACCGACACUGACGCUGAGGCGCGAAAGCUAGGGGAGCAAACGGG